AAACUGAAUUUAAUCAAAUGAAUGACUCAUAAAUUGGAUUACGGCAAACACCCUUUAAGACAACUUUGACUCAGUUAUCAACCAGGCCCAUGACUGUGUCUUGAGCACAUUUUGAACUCAAUCCAUACAAACUUGAUCCAAGCUGACGUUUGAAUUUGAGUCAGGGCUUGGGUCAGCCCUAGUUUUCUAGGAUUCUUUCCCUUGAUUUGACAAAACUCUGAUCUACCAGUUUCUUCAAUUGUAUUGCGGCAUUGCCUAAAACAUUAGCAACUGUGUCUGUUGACAAUUGGUCUUUGAGUUAGUAGGUGUACUUGUUUCACGUUGAUGCGGAUAAUGCAUCACUGGCACCCAUCGAGAAGCGCCACAGCCGCAUAAAGAUGUCUUGCUAUAAAUGGUGAGAACCUACCCAUAUGAAACAGUAACUGCCCAACUUCGCGCAUAACCCGAGAUAAAACAGCACAUUGUUUCAAUUUUCAACAAAGCUUCUGAACUGGUGGGGUUGGUAUUUUAUCAAGCGUCUGCGCAACGCAAGACAUGGAUGGAUCUGCAUUUAAUGGUCUACAUUUCUCCCGUUAGUUUUUAUAGGCUGAGAGAUUAUCAAACUCUUCCCACUAUCACAGGUAAUUUCCAUUUUUAUUCGGCCCUCUAAAUACUGCAAAGAGUGCCGUAUCAUUAUGAAGUUACUAAAUCACAUUUUUCCGCCCUAGGUAUAGCCCAAAAACAUUUUUUUCACUCUUUGAUGACAUAAAUUACACUUUCUUAUUCAAAACUUAACUCCGUUGGUGGAACAUAAUCUUGUUGUAAUGUUAAAAAGUUAAAUUAUC